UGGGGAAUUUUGGACAAUGGGCGAAAGCCUGAUCCAGCAAUGCCGCGUGUGUGAAGAAGGCCUUCGGGUUGUAAAGCACUUUUGUCCGGAAAGAAAUCCUUGGCUCUAAUACAGUCGGGGGAUGACGGUACCGGAAGAAUAAGCACCGGCUAACUACGUGCCAGCAGCCGCGGUAAUACGUAGGGUGCAAGCGUUAAUCGGAAUUACUGGGCGUAAAGCGUGCGCAGGCGGUUUGCUAAGACCGAUGUGAAAUCCCCGGGCUCAACCUGGGAACUGCAUUGGUGACUGGCAGGCUAGAGUAUGGCAGAGGGGGGUAGAAUUCCACGUGUAGCAGUGAAAUGCGUAGAGAUGUGGAGGAAUACCGAUGGCGAAGGCAGCCCCCUGGGCCAAUACUGACGCUCAUGCACGAAAGCGUGGGGAGCAAACAGGAUUAGAUACCCUGGUAGUCCACGCCCUAAACGAUGUCAACUAGUUGUUGGGGGAUUCAUUUCCUUAGUAACGUAGCUAACGCGUGAAGUUGACCGCCUGGGGAGUACGGUCGCAAGAUUAAAACUCAAGGGAAUUGACGGGGUCAUAGCUGUUUCCU
rnacentral:rRNA from 1 species